AUCCAGACAACGAGUCCUAAAUAAGACGAAACGCACGUCCUGGAU
rnacentral:hammerhead_ribozyme from 1 species